UGCGCAGGUGGGUUUGUAAGUCAGUGGUGAAAUGCUGCCGCUUAACGGUAGAAUUGCCAUUGAUACUGCAAAUCUUGAGUAUGGUUGAGGUAGGCGGAAUGUGUCGUGUAGCGGUGAAAUGCAUAGAUAUGACACAGAACGCCGAUUGCGAAGGCAGCUUACUAAGCCAUUGCUGACGCUGAGGCACGAAAGCGUGGGGAGCGAACAGGAUUAGAUACCCUGGUAGUCC
rnacentral:rRNA from 1 species